rnacentral:rRNA from 1 species
GAUGUCUAGCGAGACUGCCCCCACUGGGGUGAGGAAGGUGGGGUCGAGGUCAAGUCAUCAUGGCUCUUACGCCCUGGGNUACACACACGAUACAAUGGCCGGGACAGACGGUCGCGAAGGCGCGAGCCGGAGCUAAUCCCAUAAACCCGGCCCCAGUUGGAAUUGCAGGCUGAAACCCGCCUGCAUGAACGCGGAGUUGCUAGUAACCGCANGUCAUCACACUGCGGUGAAUACNUUCUCGGGUCUUGUACACA